rnacentral:rRNA from 1 species
GAUGAACGCUAGCGGCAGGCCUAAUACAUGCAAGUCGAACGCUCAGUAGCAAUACUGGGAGUGGCGCACGGGUGCGUAACGCGUACACAAUCUACCUCUAAGCGGGGGACACCUCCUGGAAACGGGGAUUAAUACCGCAUAAUAUGCCGAAGUCGCAUGACUUUGGUAUUAAAGCAGCAAUGCACUUAGAGAUGAGUGUGCGUCCCAUUAGGUAGUUGGUGAGGUAACGGCUCACCAAGCCUAUGAUGGGUAGCCGGUCUGAGAGGAUGGUCGGCCACACGGGCACUGAGACACGGGCCCGACUCCUACGGGAGGCAGCAGUAAGGAAUAUUGGUCAAUGGUGGAAACACUGAACCAGCCAUGCCGCGUGGAGGAAUAAGGUCCUACGGAUUGUAAACUCCUUUUGACGAGGAAGAAAAUGUUAGAUUUAUCUAAUUUUGACGGUACUCGUAGAAUAAGCACCGGCUAACUCCGUGCCAGCAGCCGCGGUAAU